UGAGAAGCAAAAUGAUGGAUAUUAUUGGUUGGAGCCCUAAAGAGGCAAUAUGAAUGUAUAUGAAUGACUGUAUGUGCGCGCACUUGUGCCUGGAUGUAUGACUGGAGUAUGAAUGAGGAUAAGGACCUAGUUAUUUGCCUUUUUUUAUAGGGCCAUGAUAUUCAAACUGAUAAGAUCUGAUUGCUUC
ensembl:snoRNA